AUUGAACGCUGGCGGCAUGCCUUACACAUGCAAGUCGAACGGUAGCGGGCCUUCGGGUGCCGACGAGUGGCGAACGGGUGAGUAAUGUAUCGGAACGUACCUUUCAGUGGGGGAUAACGUAGCGAAAGUUACGCUAAUACCGCAUAUUCUGCGCGCAGGAAAGCAGGGGAUCGCAAGACCUUGCGCUGAUUGAGCGGCCGAUAUCAGAUUAGCUAGUUGGUGAGGUAAAGGCUCACCAAGGCGACGAUCUGUAGCGGGUCUGAGAGGAUGAUCCGCCACACUGGAACUGAGACACGGUCCAGACUCCUACGGGAGGCAGCAGUGGGGAAUUUUGGACAAUGGGGGCAACCCUGAUCCAGCCAUGCCGCGUGAGUGAAGAAGGCCUUCGGGUUGUAAAGCUCUUUCGGCCGGGAAGAAAUCGUAUCAGCUAAUACCUGGUGCGGAUGACGGUACCGGCAUAAGAAGCACCGGCUAACUACGUGCCAGCAGCCGCGGUAACAC
rnacentral:rRNA from 1 species